rnacentral:rRNA from 1 species
CGCGGCCUAUCAGCUUGUUGGUGGGGUAAUGGCCUACCAAGGCAACGACGGGUAGCUGGUCUGAGAGGAUGAUCAGCCACACUGGGACUGAGACACGGCCCAGACUCCUACGGGAGGCAGCAGUGGGGAAUCUUGCGCAAUGGGCGAAAGCCUGACGCAGCAACGCCGCGUGCGGGAUGAAGGCCUUCGGGCUGUAAACCGCUUUCGGCAGGAACGAAAAUGACGGUACCUGCAGAAGAAGGAGCGGCCAACUACGUGCCAGCAGCCGCGGUGACACGUAGGCUCCAAGCGUUGUCCGGAUUUAUUGGGCGUAAAGAGCUCGUAGGCGGUUGAGUAAGUCGGGUGUGAAAACUCUGGGCUUAACCCGGAGACGCCAUCCGAUACUGCUCUGACUUGAGUUCAGGAGGGGAGUGGGGAAUUCCUAGUGUAGCGGUGAAAUGCGCAGAUAUUAGGAGGAACACCGGUGGCGAAGGCGCCACUCUGGACUGAAACUGACGCUGAGGAGCGAAAGCAUGGGUAGCAAACAGGAUUGGAUACCCUGGUAGUCCAUGCCGUAAACGGUGGGCACUAGGUGUGGGUUCCAACUAACGGGAUCCGCGCCGUCGCUAACGCAUUAAGUGCCCCGCCUGGGGAGUACGG